UACGGGAGGCAGCAGUGGGGAAUAUUGCACAAUGGGCGCAAGCCUGAUGCAGCCAUGCCGCGUGUAUGAAGAAGGCCUUCGGGUUGUAAAGUACUUUCAGUCGUGAGGAAGGUGUUAAGGUUAAUAACCUUAGCAAUUGACGUUAGCGACAGAAGAAGCACCGGCUAACUCCGUGCCAGCAGCCGCGGUAAUACGGAGGGUGCGAGCGUUAAUCGGAAUUACUGGGCGUAAAGGGCACGCAGGCGGUUAAUUAAGUUGGAUGUGAAAUCCCCGGGCUUAACCUGGGAAUGGCAUUCAAGCUGGUUAGCUAGAGUCUUGUAGAGGGGGUAGAAUUCCAUGUGUAGCGGUGAAAUGCGUAGAGAUGUGGAGGAAUACCGGUGGCGAAGGCGGCCCCUGGGACAAAGGACUGACGCUCAUGUGCGAAAGCGUGGGGAGCGAAACAGGGAUUAGAUA
rnacentral:rRNA from 1 species